CACUCUAGAGAGACUGCCAGGGAUAACCUGGAGGAAGGUGGGGAUGACGUCAAAUCAUCAUGCCCCUUAUGCUUAGGGCUACACACGUGCUACAAUGGGUAGUACAGAGGGUUGCCAAGCCGUAAGGUGGAGCUAAUCCCUUAAAGCUACUCUCAGUUCGGAUUGUAGGCUGAAACUCGCCUACAUGAAGCUGGAGUUACUAGUAAUCGCAGAUCAGAAUGCUGCGGUGAAUGCGUUCCCGGGUCUGUGACACACCGCCCGUCACACAUCGGGAGUUGGAGACGCCCGAAGCGGUGUAUCUAACCUUGUGGAAGAAGUCGUCGAAGGUGGAAUCAAUAGCUGGGGUGAAGUCGUAACAAGGUAGCCGUAUCGGAAGGUGCGGCUGGAUCACCUCCUUUCUAAGGAGA
rnacentral:rRNA from 1 species